rnacentral:rRNA from 1 species
UACGUAGGGUGCAAGCGUUGUCCGGAAUUAUUGGGCGUAAAGAGCUCGUAGGCGGUUUGUCGCGUCUGCUGUGAAAACUCGGGGCUUAACUCCGGGCCUGCAGUGGGUACGGGCAGACUAGAGUGCGGUAGGGGAGACUGGAAUUUCCGGUGGAGCGGUGAAAUGCAUUGAGAUCGGAAAGAACACCAACGGCGAAAGCACUCUGCUGGGCCGACACUGACACUGAGAGACGAAAGCUAGGGGAGCAAAUGGG